rnacentral:rRNA from 1 species
UGGCUCAGGAUGAACGCUAGCUACAGGCUUAACACAUGCAAGUCGAGGGGCAGCAUUUUAGUUUGCUUGCAAACUGAAGAUGGCGACCGGCGCACGGGUGAGUAGCACGUAUCCAACCUGCCGAUAACUCCGGAAUAGCCUUUCGAAAGAAAGAUUAAUACCGGAUAGCAUACGAAUAUCGCAUGAUAUUUUUAUUAAAGAAUUUCGGUUAUCGAUGGGGAUGCGUUCCAUUAGUUUGUUGGCGGGGUAACGGCCCACCAAGACUACGAUGGAUAGGGGUUCUGAGAGGAAGGUCCCCCACAUUGGAACUGAGACACGGUCCAAACUCCUACGGGAGGCAGCAGUGAGGAAUAUUGGUCAAUGGGCGAGAGCCUGAACCAGCCAAGUAGCGUGAAGGAUGAAGGCUCUAUGGGUCGUAAACUUCUUUUAUAUGGGAAUAAAGUUUUCCACGUGUGGAAUUUUGUAUGUACCAUAUGAAUAAGGAUCGGCUAACUCCGUGCCAGCAGCCGCGGUAAUACGGAGGAUCCGAGCGUUAUCCGGAUUUAUUGGGUUUAAAGGGAGCGUAGGUGGAUUGUUAAGUCAGUUGUGAAAGUUUGCGGCUCAACCGUAAAAUUGCAGUUGAAACUGGCAGUCUUGAGUACAGUAGAGGUGGGCGGAAUUCGUGGUGUAGCGGUGAAAUGCUUAGAUAUCACGAAGAACUCCGAUUGCGAAGGCAGCUCACUAGACUGUCACUGACACUGAUGCUCGAAAGUGUGGGUAUCAAACAGGAUUAGAUACCCUGGUAGUCCACACAGUAAACGAUGAAUACUCGCUGUUUGCGAUAUACAGUAAGCGGCCAAGCGAAAGCAUUAAGUAUUCCACCUGGGGAGUACGCCGGCAACGGUGAAACUCAAAGGAAUUGACGGGGGCCCGCACAAGCGGAGGAACAUGUGGUUUAAUUCGAUGAUACGCGAGGAACCUUACCCGGGCUUAAAUUGCAACAGAAUAUAUUGGAAACAGUAUAGCCGUAAGGCUGUUGUGAAGGUGCUGCAUGGUUGUCGUCAGCUCGUGCCGUGAGGUGUCGGCUUAAGUGCCAUAACGAGCGCAACCCUUAUCUUUAGUUACUAACAGGUUAUGCUGAGGACUCUAGAGAGACUGCCGUCGUAAGAUGUGAGGAAGGUGGGGAUGACGUCAAAUCAGCACGGCCCUUACGUCCGGGGCUACACACGUGUUACAAUGGGGGGUACAGAAGGCCGCUACCUGGUGACAGGAUGCUAAUCCCAAAAGCCUCUCUCAGUUCGGAUCGAAGUCUGCAACCCGACUUCGUGAAGCUGGAUUCGCUAGUAAUCGCGCAUCAGCCAUGGCGCGGUGAAUACGUUCCCGGGCCUUGUACACACCGCCCGUCAAGCCAUGAAAGCCGGGGGUACCUGAAGUACGUAACCGCAAGGAGCGUCCUAGGGUAAAACUGGU